rnacentral:rRNA from 1 species
GACGAACGCUGGCGGCGUGCUUAACACAUGCAAGUCGAACGGAAAGGCCCUGCUUUUGUGCGGUGCUCGAGUGGCGAACGGGUGAGUAACACGUGAGUAACCUGCCCUUGACUUUGGGAUAACUUCAGGAAACUGGGGCUAAUACCGGAUAGGAGCUCCUGCUGCAUGGUGGGGGUUGGAAAGUUUCGGCGGUCGGGGAUGGACUCGCGGCUUAUCAGCUUGUUGGUGGGGUAGUGGCUUACCAAGGCUUUGACGGGUAGCCGGCCUGGGAGGGUGACCGGCCACAUUGGGACUGAGAUACGGCGCAGACUCCUACGGGAGGCAGCAGUGGGGAAUAUUGCACAAUGGGCGGAAGCCUGAUGCAGCAACGCCGCGUGCGGGAUGACGGCCUUCGGGUUGUAAACCGCUUUCGCCUGUGACGAAGCGUGAGUGACGGUAAUGGGUAAAGAAGCACCGGCUAACUACGUG